rnacentral:lncRNA from 1 species
UAUAAAUGUGCAACCUUUUUAUCUGUUCAGGAUUUUGUUCACAACACGUCUGGUAAUGCUGUAUUUUAUAUUGGUCUGACUGACACUGACGUGGAGGGCACAUGGAAAUGGGUUGAUAACAGCACACUGACCUCUAGGUUCAGCUUCUGGGCGUCCCAUGGACAAAUAAAAGAGCCAAAUGGAGGACAAGGCAUUGUAGACGAGGACUGUGUUGUGACUGUAGCUGUGCCUAAACUGCCAGAGUGGGCUAAUUUAGUAGGGUGGCUUGAUGUUGCAUGUAAUGUACAAUUUCAAUGGAUCUGUGAGAAGAGGAUUUCACAGUUCAUUCUGCCAUAGGAACAUCACACACCUUUCCGAGACAAGUUCAACAAUACAAAACUUUCGUAAUAAUUGAUUAACAUUUAAAACUGUUUCUUAACCUUGCUCCUGGAGGACACCCACAGCUGCACAUUUUGAAUGUCUCCUUUUGUCAGACUCCCAUUUCAUGUCCAUAAUACAUAAUGUGCAAAACGGGACUCCAGAAGUGCUUUCAUUCAACCAGAAAUGCCUUGUAAAUGAACGUCACAGAGUUUUCCACUAUAUAAGUGAGAUUUCAGUCUUCAUUUAUUAUUAGUACAUUAUUCAGUUAUACAUCACCAGUCACUGCGUACUCACUGAGUCACUGUGAUAAUAUUUCACAAUUCAAUUACAAGACUUUUCACAAUUUACUUUAACACAACAUCAAAAACAUGCCUGACAUUACUUAAUCAUGCAGUGUGAGAAGAAACACACACACAAUGUAUGUAACCACCUUAUGACCCAUACGCGUCUUUUCAUUGAGAGCUCUGAUUGCUGCAUCAUGGUCACUGAUGAAAACAUUCCUCUUACAACUAUGAAUGGUGGACAGUGAUGGACCCCAAACGACACUGCAUGAAGAGGUUUCUUUUGUCUGUAUAAUUUAAAACUUUAUAAAUUAGAAAGAAUUGAAUACUUUAUAUUGCUUAUUGAUUAUUUUUUACACUAAAAAUCCUUAAUACAAGCAUUUAAAAAAUUGUGUAAAAUUUAUGCGAAUAAAGUGUUUUAAUUUGAUUCCAUUUAAUUGUACUGCACAACAGACACCAAAAGAUGUUUAGGAUUUGUUUUCCAGCGGCAGCCACUGUCAAAAUGUACAAGCCCAUAAUGAAUGAGGACAAUAAAUAAUUAUGUCUUAAUAUAUGCUUUUAAAUCCCAUUAAAAUGUACCCAAUUCACAUGGUAGAAAAAAAAGUGCAUCUGAAGUGAGUUGAAGUUCCUUUCUGUAUAAAUACUGGCCACACAAACACAGAUGAGGAACACAAUACAGUCCACUCCAGGACUGAAUCCAGUGUUAGUUUGUCAGCAUCUUGACAACACCAAAACUUUCUGAAAGUAGAACAUAUUGAAAAACUGAGAAGAUGUACAUAGAAGAUGGUAAAAGCACUGAUAUCUGCGUACAUUAUAUGACAUUAUAAGAGGUAACAUUGGAAAAGACUCUAAAUCAUCUCAACUCACAGGUAAUGAUAUUAAUAAUUCACUCACUUUGAUGCUCUCAACUGAUGUGUGCUGUGUUAAGUGGACAAAUAGAAAGAAUAACAGCAUGUUUGUUCUUCAGGAAGUGAUUCAGUGAGGAUCAGAAACUACAGAGCAGCUGUAGUGUGUUUGGUGCUGCUGUGUGUUCUUCUGCUGACUACAGUCAUAGUGCUGUGUGUCACACUCACUCAAGAGAGACAACAGUUCAUAUCCAAUAAUGAAAACCUGACCAAUGAGAGACAACAGCUAAGAAAUGAACUUCAGAUUCUUGGUAAAGUUUCUUUACUCCAUGUAGUUAUUUGCUAUCCACCUUGUUUUUAAAAUAUUUGUAAGUUAAAUGUGUCUGGUUUCUGGUGUCAUCCGGCUUCCACUAAUUACAAAACAGCUCUUUAUGUUGCUUGAUACUGCAAACUGGUGUUUCUUAUAAUAUUUUGGUGUAUUGUUGUAAUUAUAAACAAAUAGGUCUGCAGUGCAAACUGUUUUACCAUUUACUGCUUUUCUAUUCUAUAUCGAACAUUUACAGAAAAUAGCUUACUUCCACAUUGAAAAUAAAUAAAUAAAUAAAAAUAAAUAAAUAGAUGGAUUGGAUACAGAAGACAUUUUUAAGUUAGGUUGUGGUUUUGGUAACUUUCAAUGUAUACACAGAGGCGUACUGCACAUCUUAAAAGCCCCCCUGCAAAGAAAGAGAUUGGGCCCCUCCCACCAGCAGUGAUGUCAUGUACGAAAAGUUAUUGUGCACCUGCUCCAAGUAUACUACUGAGUCCGUCUCUCCUAUUUACAUAACUGAUUUAUCAGUCAUGAAUGUGAUGAAUUAUCAUUGCAUUGAUGCAUUUCAUAUAGGCUAAUGGUCAACACGUUUCAGUUCAAACACUGUCCUACAUAAGACUCACUAACUGUUUAAAAAAACUAUACAAGCAAAAGUCAUGUCUUUCAGUAUAUGAACAGUAAAUAAAUAAAUAAAUUUAAAAAAAUCCUAGAAGAAAAACAAAUUAAAGGAAUAACUAUAUGUGCUACAUUUUGAGAAUAAUUAACUUUCAAUACAUUUACCAACUUUUGCAAUUAAUUUAUUAUUUUUAUUAACUGACAACCACAAACGAGCAAACACUCUACUGAAUCCAUCACGCUCUCCGAGCAUUUUGGUGCCCAAAGUCUUUGACUGCAGCUUGUCGUCAAUGUUGCGAGCGCGGGGUUUAUUAUUGUUAUUAUUAUUAUUUGCAAAGACAAAGUUUAAAAAAAUGACGCUAACCAUUUUUCUACUCAGACCGGUUUCAGAGUGGUUAAUAAUACAGAGAAACGCCUGAACAGCUCUCUCUCUCUCUCUCAUUUUUUAAGCCCUGCUUAAAGCAUACGGAGCCCCGCACAUUUGUGAGCACGAAUAGAAGUUUAUGACAAGUGAAAUGUGAGAAAAAAUAGAUUUUCCCCGGUUGUUGUUUUAGAACAUUAAAGGAGCCGUAUGUAGGAUUGUGGCCUAAACUGGUACUGCAAUCACUAUAAAAAUACUGUAGAGCGGUGUACCCCCUCCCCCUAGGAGCCGUAUGUAGGACUGUGGCCUAAACUGGUACUGCAAUCACUAUAAAAAUAACUGUAGAGCGGUGUCUCCCUCCCCCUACCCCUGACUCGAGGUUGCCAGAUGAGCUGCAGGAUUCAGCAGAAACGUAGGCUGCUUCAAUGAGCUUCCAAUGGCAAGUGACGAACAGACGUACACAGUAAGUUUUUUUUCUGUUAAUUAUGUUUAUGCUUCAUGAGAGAUAUUUUGAUAAGUAAUUAUGUAUUUAAAAAAUGUACUAAUUGUCAUUAGUUAAAUAUAAUCGUAAAGAUUUAUGCUCGUAUGUGACAGUAUAAUCGUAAAGAUGUAUGCUCGUAUGUGACAGUAUAAUCGUAAAGAUUUAUGCUCGUAUGUGACAGACAGAACGGUAACUGUUAGUCUAGGCUACUGUCUCAAUUACGUUUCAAAUUGCCAUAAUGGGCGUGCUAAUGUUGUUUUCCUCAGCGUCUCAGCAUAAUGACAGAGAAACGGGCUGUAAUGCAUUGCUAAUGUUAGCAUACGUCCAUGUGAGCUAACGUUAUGUUACUUUGCACAAACAUGAAUAACUUUGUUCGACUGUCAUGAAUAUAUGAAAUGUCCAUUGACAUCAAG